AUCAUAAGGAUAUUUCGGAUAAUGUGGGCAGCACCGAAUUCUUACUUCUCUGAUUGCUCUUUGGGGGCAGAAACUGCCUGCACAGGGUUUAGAAGCUGACCAGGUUCGAAAGAGAUCUUGGGAUGCCCCGAUGCCAAAACAUCUGAAUCAAGUCUAAGAGGGGUGGCCCGUCCUGCACAUGUGACAGCUACAGCCAUGGCCUUCAGAUUGUUCAGGCCAGACCUGGGAGAUGCCAGGCCCCACAGAUCUAUUAGCCUCUUUUGACAAUGGAAAGAAAAGGAGGCAGGAAGGAAGGAAAGAAGGAAGGCAUAGGUAUAUGCGCGCGCGCGUGCGCGCGUGUGUGUGUGUGUGUAAAUGUAUCUGUACAUACAUAUUCAUAUACUUAUUUUUCCUGAGUGAAUAACCGUGACAAUGGCUAUACUUUUAAAGAUAUUCAUUUCUGGAGUUCCUGUCGUGGUGCAGCAGAAACGAAUCCAACUAGGAACCAUGAGGUUGCGGGUUUGAUUCCUGGCCUUGCUCAAUGGGUUAAGGAUCUGGCGUUGCCGUGAGCUGUGGUGUAGGUCGCAGACACGGCUCAGAGGAGGGCUUGCUGUGGCUGUGACACAGGCUGGCAGCUGUAGCUCCAAACAGACCCCUAGCCUGGGAACCUCCAUAUGCCACGGGUGUGGCCCUCGAAAGCAAAAAUAAAAUAAAAUAAAAAAUAAAAUAAAAACAUUCGUUUCUUUGUACUUUCAAAUAUAAAUUCCUAUCUUCCCAGAGAGUAUAAUUAAAAACGCAAACCAGACACAUGUGUUUGAAGGACAAAUUCUGGGUGGACUCUUGGACUAACUGAAAGGUGGCCUGGUGUCCCCGUGGUCUGCAGAGCACACUGCAUAGUCCCUCCUGCCUUGACCCCAACCCAGGGUGGAGAAUGAAGCUUCUGUGGUGAUUAUCUUGGUUAGAGACACCCCUGCUUGGCCUGUCAUUGAGAUCUUGGCUGUUGCUACUCAGACAACCCAGAUGCUAAGGCCAGCGCUUCACCUCUCUGCCCAAGUACGCAAGUGCUCCUGGAAAGAAGCCAGUCUGGGCUGGGGGGUACAAGAGCCAAGUCAAGUCAAUAUCAAGGUGACCUGGAAAAGUUAUAAUCGAAUCUACUUCUUACCUCUCUAAACCGUGGGUGGCAUCAUUGACAUUCUUGGCAGGUCCCAUAGCCCAUUUGAUGUCUUUUCCUCUUUCUAUUGUUCUCACAUCUUUCUGUGGCCUCCACUUUCCCCUGUAUGCCUCUGGCCUUUCCAUUUGCCCAACCCGGAGUUCCUGUCAUGGCACAGCGGAAACGAAUCUGACCAGUAAUCAUGAGGUUGCGGGUUCGAUCCCUGGUCUUGCUCAGUGGGUUAAGGAUCCAGCAUUGCCAUGAGCUGUGAUAUAGGUCACAGAUGUGGCUUAGAUCUGGCAUUGCUCUGGGCGUGGCAUAGGCUGGCAGCUACAGUUCUGAUUGGACCCCUAGCCUGGGAGCGUCCAUAUGCUACAGGUGUGGCCCUAAAAAGACCAAAAAACUGGCAACUUUUUUUUAUGCCACAGCCACAGCCAUGCUGGAUCCAGGCGACACCUACAACCCAUGUCACAGCUUGUGGCAACACCAGAUCAUUAACCUACUGAAUGAGGCCAGGAAUUAAACCUGCAUCUUCACAGGCACUAUGUCAGGUUCUUAACCUGCUGAGCCGCAGGGGGAACUCCUCUCACCAGUCAGUUCUUGCGAGGUCAAAUUAAGUUGGGAAAAGACUGGACUCCAUUCAGGUGAGAGGAUUAUGCAUGAAUUAUCAGGGUCUGGGCCUCCGAUUUGUUCAGAUCAUGGUGAUCCUUCAUUCCGUGACUCAGUUCCAAUUCAUGGGUAGUGUCCAGAAGCCCCCUCAAUACUCCUAACUCUAAUCACUUCCAUUUAUAGGGCAUCACUAUAUGCCAGGUGCUUUAUACAGGAUUUGAUGAGAAAUGUAAUCUCAGAAAGGUUAAGUCACCUGCCCAAGGUCGCUUAGCCAGGUUUGAACCCUGGCUGUGCGUUUCCCCAUCUGCUAGGCUUUAGCAGUUCCAAAUCAUGCCUCCUGGGUUAAAUGAACAACAGAUAACCAUGGAAACAAACAAAAAAAAUUUCUGAAAUAGUUUCUCGUCCUCCAGAUAUAGCAGGGCCGCUCUGUGAGGCACUUCUGUCUACACCAGCUGAUCCAGGGCAUGUGCACUCAGUAUUUUCAGCUCCCUGAAUUCAGCUUUACUGGCAGCCCCUGUGAUUUUUCAGCAUAAUGACCAGCCUCACCACCACGAGUCCAGCCCUUUCCCAAGGCUGAAAAUACACCCAGAGUUCGGGCACCUGGUUCCGAGGGGAGUCUUUGAGUUCCCGCUUCCCCAGGCAGCGUCUGGCUAUCUCAUGUGGCUCGGCUAACACGGAACUGAGAAGUAUCUAGAGAUUAAUCUUCAGAGCCCCUCCUCUCCCUGAGCAGCCCCCCUAAGCACUGCUUUUCUGGUUCUCUCCUGGUUUGAUAAAGCAUCCCAGCGGUGCUUUUGUGUUUUAAAAGAUGUUAUGUGCAGAGGACUGCGCUUAACACCAUGUGCUCUAAUGGUGGACUCGAGGCAUUUCAGUGGCAGGAUAAUUGGGGAGGGGGAAAACAGAGCCUUCCCAGGGGCUUUAAAGUGCAUCACUGCAUAAGGCUGAUCCUGCAUCUCAUUAUCCAUUCACUUCAGAUGAAAGCUAUAAAUUUGGAUCCCUUUAUUCUGAUAUUUGAAGCUAAGCAGAGACUGGGCUGACUUCUCUAUUUUUACCUGGCCGCUGGCCUCCUGCAGACACUCUCCCCGCCGCCACCCCCAGGAGCAGAGUCCUUAAGGGAGAGCGUUCCCCAUGGUGUGCCUGCAGGGGCCCCGUGGGAAGGGUUGAGUUGUCAGAUGAGGAGACACCCCAGCGAACACCCCUGCUCCUCCAACCCCCACCAACUCUGGAAUGAAGAUGGAGAGUUUUCUGUGCCUGGUUUGGUUCACAGAGACACAUAGUCCAUCAUUUGAUUUGCUACAAAGAGUAUUCCUUCCCUGCCCCCCAGCAUCCUCUGGUUUUUGCUUAGAGUCUCAGAGCUGGGGGGAAUCUUAGUGAUAACCUAAUCACUUUUUCGUAAAAGAGGGGAAACUGAGGCUCAGACAGAGACCAGGACCCAGGCAUUCUGAUCCCCAAAUCAGUAUUCUUCCCGACACCACUCGGCAAUCUGGCUGUCUUUGCAUUUCAGCCGGACACUUGUGGAAUUGCUUCCUCCAAAACCCAGCUUGCUUUCCAUGGCAGAGAACAUAGGUACCAACGAUCAUGGUAAUGUGGACCCUCAUGCCUGGCAGUGCCUGCUUUUGGGUACAUGCCUUGUCAUAGCCACACUAUGCUCCACGAUCCUCCAGGGGCCCACCUGUGAUUUCUGUGAAAUGAGAGGGCCUCUCUAUUAAACCAGGGAAGACGCUAUUUCUGUGCUGCAUUACAGGUCACCUCACCUCAAUCCACUCCCUAAAACUGGCCAAGACCUGGAGAGGGGCUGAAGAUCUCAGGUAAGCACACCUUUUUUUUUGCCUCUGACAUCCUACCUCCAGCCACAGAUGAGAGAAAAAGGCUAACUUUUUUGUUUUGGUUUAGUUUUUUAAGGUUGUUCCUGUGGCAUACGGAAAUUCCCAGGCUAGGGGCUGAAUCGGAGCUACAGCAGCCGGUCUACACCACAACUCAUGGCAACGCUGGAUCUUUAACCCACUGAGUGAGGCCAGAGAUUGAACCCGAGUUCUCAUGGAUACUGGUCGGGUCUGUUACCACUGAGCCAUGACAGGAACUCCGGAGGCUGUCUUGAAUAGAAAGUUUUCCUUAAUAUGUUAUCAAGCCUUCCUCAAGCUUCAAGGGAAAAAAAGAAACCCUCUUCUGAUCCAUUUGUGAAGCUGGAGGUAAGGGGAGAGGCUCAAGCUUAGCAUGAGGAAUGCUGAUUAUACAUAGAAAGAAUUUGCCAGCCAUGAAAGUUGUCAGACACCUGUGUUCUCCGAAUACACCAGGUAAGUCCCUCCCCCUGAGACGGUCAAGUUAAUCUCCAGGCUUCCUUACUGUCCAAAGAGUCUGCUUAGAAACUUCCUUUCCCAGUAUUUGAUGGUCUAAUCCCAGGUUCCUCAGGCAGUGCUCACUCAGUUUCCCACAGGGCCCUGACUCCAGAUAACAUUGGGUUUUGUUUUUGGUUUUGGGGUUUUUUUGGUCUUUUUAGGGCCACAUCCACAGCACAUGGAGGUUCCCAGGCUAGGGGUCUAAUCAGAGCUGUAGCCACCAGCCUACGUCAGAGCCACAGCAAUGCCAGAUCGGAGCCGGGUCUUUGACCUACACCACAGCUUUCGGCAAGGCUGGAUCCUUAACCCACUGAGCCAGGCCAGGGAUCGAACCUGCAACCUCAUGGUUCCUAGUCAGAUUCAUUUCCACUGCCCCACGACGGAACUCCCAUUUUUUUUUUUUUUAAUUGUUUACAGCCAUACCUGCAGAAUAUGGAAACUCCCAGGCCAGGGGUCGAUUUGGAGCUGCAGCUGUCAGCCUAGCACAGUCACAGCAAUACCAGAUCUGAGCUGCGUCUGUGACCUACACCACGGAAGGCCAGAUUCUCAACCCACUGAGAGAGGCCACGGAUGGAACCCACAUCCUCAAAGACACUAUGUCAAGUUCUUAACCUGGUGAGCCACAGUGGGAACUCCUACAAAACAUUUUUUAAAAAUAAAUUUUAAAUUUUAUAGGAGCAUAGGCGACUUACAAUGUUGUGUUAGUUUCAGGUGUACAGCAAACUGAAUCAGUCAUACAAACACAUGUAGAUCCAUUCUUCUUCAGAUUCUUUCCCCAUAUAGGCCAUCACAGAGUAGUGAAUAGAUUUCCCCAAGCUAGGUAGCAGGUUCUUGUUACCGAUUGAUUUGGAUGUAGUAGCGCGUAUAUGCCAAUCCCAACCUCCCAGUCCAUCUGUCACCUCGUGUUUCUGUUUUGGUAACCGUAAAUUUGGCUUCAAAAUCUUCCAGAAAACAUUUUAAAAUCUCAUGUUGAACUGAUAGACCCAUGUAAAUCAACUGUCAUAGGAGAAAUAAAAACCUUAAAAAAAUAAAUAAAAAUUAAAAUGAAAUAAAAUCUCACGUUGACCCCAUCUCCAAGAAACACAACAAAAUUGAACCAAUUUAGCAACAACGAAAAUCUACCAGAUUACUUCUCCAUUUGACGUGGGGACAAUAGCACUGGACUGGGGGGGCCAGAGCUUUUGUGUCUGUUUUAGGCUGAAUUUUGUUCCCCAGAGCUCAUGUGUUGACAUCUUAACCCUCAGGGGCUGGAGAAUGUGACUGUGUUUAGAUAGAGGGUCUUUAUUUUAUUUUGUCUUUUUGCCAUUUCUUGGGCCGCUCCUGCGGCAUAUGGAGGUCCCCAGUCUAGGGGUCUAAUCAGAGCUUUAGCCACUGACAUACACCACAGCCACAGCAACUCGGGAUCCAAGCCACAUGUGCGACCUACACCACAGGCCACAGCAAUGACGGAUCCUUAACCCACUGAGCAAGGCCAGGCAUCGAACCUGCAACCUCAUAGUUCCUAGUCGGAUCUGUAAACCACUGUGCCACGAGGGGAACUCCGAUAGAGGGUCUUUAAAGAGGUAAUUCGGGUAAAAUGAGGACGUGGUGGUGGAUGCUCAUCCAACAUGACUGGUGUCCUAAGAAGAGGAGAUACACACAGACACAGAAAGACCAUGUGAAGCCAGAUCUAUGUGCAAAAGACCAUCUACCAGCAAUGGAGAAAGGCCUCUAAAGAAAUCAACGCUGCCAACACCUUGAUCUUAGACAUCGAGCCUCCAGAACUGUGAAAAAAAUAAAUGUCUGUUGUUUCAGCCACC
rnacentral:lncRNA from 1 species